rnacentral:rRNA from 1 species
GACGAACGCUGGCGGCGUGCUUAACACAUGCAAGUCGAACGGAAAGGCCCUGCUUUUGUGGGGUGCUCGAGUGGCGAACGGGUGAGUAACACGUGAGUAACCUGCCCUUGACUUUGGGAUAACUUCAGGAAACUGGGGCUAAUACCGGAUAGGAGCUCCUGCUGCAUGGUGGGGGUUGGAAAGUUUCGGCGGUUGGGGAUGGACUCGCGGCUUAUCAGCUUGUUGGUGGGGUAGUGGCUUACCAAGGCUUUGACGGGUAGCCGGCCUGAGAGGGUGACCGGCCAGAAUGGGCCGUGCAAGCGCACAAGUCUACUAGGGGGGGGAGGAGGGGGGAAUUUACGACAGUGGGAGGCGCCCUGACGCAAGAGCGCGGGGGGGGGGAUGGCGGCCUGUGUGUCGCGGCCCGCGUGGGCUGGGAGGGAGGGGUUAGGGGUGGUAAAGGGAAAAGAAGCACCGAAUGACGAGGUGCCGGCGGCGGAGAUAAAAGAGGGAAGAGCUAGUCUACCC